AAGGAUUUCUUCGGAAUGAAUUUGAUUAAGUUUAGUGGCGGACGGGUGAGUAACGCGUGAGUAACCUGCCUCUAAGAGGGGAAUAACAUUCUGAAAAGAAUGCUAAUACCGCAUAACAUAUAUUUAUCGCAUGGUAGAUAUAUCAAAGAUUUAUCGCUUAGAGAUGGACUCGCGUCCGAUUAGUUAGUUGGUGAGGUAACGGCUCACCAAGACCGCGAUCGGUAGCCGGACUGAGAGGUUGAACGACCACAUUGGGACUGAGACACGGCCCAGACUCCUACGGGAGGCAGCAGUGGGGGAUAUUGCGCAAUGGGGGAAACCCUGACGCAGCAACGCCGCGUGAAGGAUGAAGGUCUUCGGAUUGUAAACUUCUUUUAUUAAGGACGAAGAAAGUGACGGUACUUAAUGAAUAAGCUCCGGCUAACUACGUGCCAGCAGCCGCGGUAAUACGUAGGGAGCAAGCGUUGUCCGGAUUUACUGGGUGUAAAGGGUGCGUAGGCGGCUUUGCAAGUCAGAUGUGAAAUCUAUGGGCUCAACCCAUAGCCUGCAUUUGAAACUGCAGAGCUUGAGUGAAGUAGAGGCAGGCGGAAUUCCCCGUGUAGCGGUGAAAUGCGUAGAGAUGGGGAGGAACACCAGUGGCGAAGGCGGCCUGCUGGGCUUUA
rnacentral:rRNA from 1 species